rnacentral:rRNA from 1 species
GACGAACGCUGGCGGCGUGCUUAACACAUGCAAGUCGAACGAUGAACCCGGAGCUUGCUCCGGCGGAUUAGUGGCGAACGGGUGAGUAACACGUGAGUAACCUGCCCUUGACUCUGGGAUAACUGCGGGAAACUGUAGCCAAUACCGGAUACGACCCUCGGCGGCAUCGCCAGGGGGUGGAAAGAAUUUCGGUCAAGGAUGGACUCGCGGCCUAUCAGCUAGUUGGUGAGGUAACGGCUCACCAAGGCGACGACGGGUAGCCGGCCUGAGAGGGUGACCGGCCACACUGGGACUGAGACACGGCCCAGACUCCUACGGGAGGCAGCAGUGGGGAAUAUUGCACAAUGGGCGCAAGCCUGGUGCAGCAACGCCGCGUGAGGGAUGACGGCCUUCGGGUUGUAAACCUCUUUUAGUAGGGAAGAAGCGAAAGUGACGGUACCUGCAGAAAAAGCACCGGCUAACUACGUGCCAGCCGCCGCCGUAA